rnacentral:tRNA from 1 species
GGGGUUGUGGUUCAGUGGCAGAGCAUGUGCUUAUCGUGCACAAGGCCCUGGGUUCAAUCCCCAGCACCA